rnacentral:rRNA from 1 species
ACUUUGCUUCUCAUCGCUGCUUGGGUACUACGAGCAUGUGCUUAAAACUCAAAGAACUUGGCGGCUUGUUAACUACCUAGGGGAAUAUGUGCCUUAAUCCGAUAGUCCUCGACAUAUUUUACUGGGCCUUGAAAAAUCAGUUGGUGUAUUGCCGUUGUCAGCCUGUUGUUGAGCAAAGAGAAACAGGCUUAAAGGAUUCUUUUAAAAAGUAGAAGAGUUCCUUGAAUUCAGGUCGUAAUACUGCCUAUGGCUCUAGGGAGUGGGUGUUACAAUUUUAAGUUGAAAUACGACCUUUUAUGAAAAAGAAGCGAAGGUGAACUUAGGAGUAAGGGAAGAUUAGAUUGCUCCCCUGACGUGAAUCUAGCUUGUGUACAAACUG